AUAAGUGUAAUAAAAUUUUGGCAUUCAAAUCAUUAUUUGAUCUUGUAGACAGUUUUGUACACAGUCAUACAUGGUUUCUUUGUUUGUUUUCUAUGUGGGACCUUUGUUUUUAAAAAAAUUAUCCUCAAAUUAUGAUUAUGACAAGACAUUGAUCUACACAACAAAGAGAUAGUAAAACUUGUAGUGUUUCAACUCACACCAACCAGGACCAGAUGUGAGCUGGUAGUGUUUUGUGGUGGUGUUCAUGAGAAAAUAGCUUCAGGGUUGUUUGAGCCUUUUGUUUCUCACCUCAAGUUUGUGAAAGAUGAGAUCUCUAAAGGUGGAUACUCAAUUAAGCUUCUCCCUCCAAACAAUUCUACAUUCUGGUUCUCCAAGGCCACCUUUGAAAGGAGGUUCAAGCUUCACCUAAGGAGGCAACUGAAACAGUGGUUUUGGUCAUUGAUGAGAAAUGUGUGGAGUCACUCAUAUCAGAGCUUGUGAAAGGUGUCAAUGAGCCAAAGCUAUUUUGGUCUUCACACGAACAGUUUUCUUGUUCU